AGUGAACGCUGGCGGUAGGCCUAACACAUGCAAGUCGAACGGCAGCACAUGUAUAGCUUGCUCUUACGGGUGGCGAGUGGUGGACGGGUGAGGAAUACAUCGGAAUCUAUUUGUGCGUGGGUGAUUACGUAGGGAAACUUACGCUAAUACCGCAUAUGUCCUGCGGGUGAAAGCAGGGGAUCUUCGGUCCGUUUGUUCGUGAAUGAGUGGAGGUCGGAUUAGCUAGUUGGCGGGGUAAAGGCCCACCAAGGCGACGAUCCGUAGCUGGUCUGAGAGGAUGAUCAGCCACACUGGAACUGAGACACGGUCCAGACUCCUACGGGAGCACGCAGUGGGCACACUUGGACAAUGGGCGCAAGCCUGAUCCAGCCAUACCGCGUGGGAGAAGAAGGAAUUCGGGUUGUAAAGCCCUUUUGUUGGGAAAGACAAAAAACAGGUUAAUACCCCGCUGUUCUGACGGUACCCAAAGAAUAAGCACCGGCUAACUUCGUG
rnacentral:rRNA from 1 species